rnacentral:tRNA from 1 species
GGGCCUGUAGCUCAGUUGGUAGAGCGCCAGCUUUGCAAGCUGGAUGUCAUCGGUUCGAACCCGUUCAGGUCCACCA